rnacentral:rRNA from 1 species
AGGAAGGCUCUUGGGUUGUAAACCUCUUUUCUCAGGGAAGAAAAAAUGACGGUACCUGAGGAAUAAGCAUCGGCUAACUCCGUGCCAGCAGCCGCGGUAAUACGGAGGAUGCAAGCGUUAUCCGGAAUGAUUGGGCGUAAAGCGUCCGCAGGUGGCAAUGUAAGUCUGCUGUUAAAGAGUCUGGCUCAACCAGAUAAGGGCAGUGGAAACUACACAGCUAGAGUACGUUCGGGGCAGAGGGAAUUCCUGGUGUAGCGGUGAAAUGCGUAGAGAUCAGGAAGAACACCGGUGGCGAAAGCGCUCUGCUAGGCCGUAACUGACACUGAGGGACGAAAGCUAGGGGAGCGAAUGGGAUUAGAUA